AUACCUAAGAAUUCUACAUUAUCCUAUGCAUUCUAUCAAAUAUUACAAUCAAUAAUUCCAUCUUUAUAUUCACUAUAACUUCUCUUCUCCUUAUUUAUAACAACGAUAUAGAAUACUAUACUAUCUUAAAAGAUAACAUACAAAUACUCCAUAAUCCAAUCAUUGGAAUCCUCUACAUUUAAUUAUCAUUCUCCCUAUACUUCUUCACACAAAUCCAGACUCCAAAGACUCCUUCUCAAACCUCAGUAUUAUAAUUCUCCCAUUCAUAACCAUUCUUCACCAAUACUUCUAAUUGUCCACUUACAACUCUCCACUAUAUUCAUCCACAAUAAAUUCUAUACUUCAUUUAUAAUAUUAAAUCUCUUUUUUAUUCCAAAAUUUCACUUCACAUUAUUCAAAAAAUAUUCAUUACUCUUCAACUACAAAGAAACAAAGAGGUAGUACUAAGCUUAUCUUGGCUCAUAACUAUCACAAUCUGGCCCCUUCUACUUCUUUUUCAAUCUA
rnacentral:lncRNA from 1 species